AUGCGGGAGGCAGAGGCCAGGCCUCCUCAAGUUGGCCUCUCAGACCCACUUGCAGCCUCCCGGCGCCCCCUCCGGGCCCAGCUCUUCCUCCCGGCUGCAUCUCCAGGCCGGACUCUGGCCCGACUCCAGGUCCCAACAACGUCUUUGGACUCAGCUCCUGCCCAGCUCCCAGCGGCCCUGGUAGGCCCACAACUUCCCUAAGCCAAGCUCCCCAGGCCCAGCUCAGGCCUCGCGGUGGCCUCUCCAGGCUCAGCUCCUGGCCCUCCGAUGACAUCUGCAGGCCCCAAAUGGCCUCCGGUCGGUGGGCUCCUCUAGGCCCAGCUUGGGCCUCCCGGCGGCCUCCGCAGGCCCAAAUCGUCCCGAAGUCAGUCUCUCCAGGCUUAGCUCCAGCCUCCCGGCGGCCUCUGCAGGCCCAAGUCGUCCUCAAGUCGGCCUGGAAGUGGGCCUGGAAGAGCAGCAAGUCGGCCUCCCUGGGCCCAGCUCCGUCCUCUCGACGGCCUCUCCAGGUGCAAAACUUCCUCGAGUCAGCCUCUCCAGGCCCAGCUCCUCCUGCCUCCCAGUGGCCUCUUUCGGCCCAGCCCAGCUCAUGGCUCUCGGCGGCCUUCCCAGGCCCCGCUUUUGACUUUUGGCAGCCUCUUCAGGCGCAGAACUUGAUCUCCAGUCGGCCUUUGCAGGCCCGGCCUCCUGCGUCUCGAAGGCCUGCACGGGCCCAGCCUCGGCCUCGGCCUCACAGCGGACUCUCCACGCCCAGCUAG
rnacentral:lncRNA from 1 species